AUCGCCCCUUCUCCUUCUCCCCCUCUUUUCUCGGCCGCCACCCUCAAACCACCCUCCGACUGUCGCCGGCCACCACGAACCACCAUUACUUCCAUCAUUUCUCUACUUUUCUUUUAGAUCUUGGUAUAUAAGUCUAGAUCCGAAAAGAUGGGUCUGAAAUCUUUUGAAUCUAUGAUGAAUGAGCCGAAAUCCUUCAAGAUCCGAAAAUAUAAACCCGAAAUCUUGUCAUAUCCGAAAAGCAAAGAUCCGAAACGGUAUAUAUAACCCGAAAUUAGUCCGAAAACCUUUAAGAUUCGGAUAUUUUAGAUCCGAAAAUCAUGUUCUUGUUUAGAUUUGGUUUGUUUUCUUGUAUUUGCGGCUCAUAUAUAAUUGUACAAAUCGAGAUCUUGUUUAAUCCGAGUUUAUAUGUGUUGUUUU